UCCCCACUUUCCCUCACCUUCUCUCUUUUUCCCGUCUACCAUUUUUCUCCACUUGUCUCUCUCUUUCUCUCUCUGAUCUUGCUCACUUCUUUCCUUUUUCUCCCUCUCUUCUUUUCCUCUUUCCCAACAAAACAGAAAAGGAGGAAGUUUGGGUCUGUUUCCCUUUCUGAUGAAAAACCCUCUAGAGAUGAACUCAAGUGUGGGAUGCUGAGUUUGUUAAGGUUGAGCAGGAAACAUUGUUUGAUCUUAUCUUGGUUGUGGCGUUGCUACUAUUGCAUCGUACGUCAAACUUCAAUGGUUGGUGAUGCAGAAUUGACACGUCAGUUUUGA